GCCUCCAGUAGCCCAGCUGCCAUCACCACCCAUGGCUCUUCUUCCUCCUCUGCCCUGUUUGCUUCAGCAGAGGGCAGAGUGGGCCUCAGAAAGUGUGCGUCAAUGGUGAAGACGGGUUCACACCGGUCUGGGCUGACUCAGCCCGUGGUAACUUUCUGUAGACGGGGAGGCUACAGCUGAGGGGCCAGGCUCUGCCCGCCUCCCUGCAGAGCUGGGCUCCAGGCAGGAGCCUGGGGACACAACCUGCUGGCGACAUGCAGGAUGGCUUUUCCCUCACCCUCCUGCAGACCGCUCCCUGCAUUCAUCCGGAACCCAGCCCACAUUCUCGGUGUGUAACCCGAGACAGACCGACAGACAGGGCCUGACCCUUGACCUCCUCAGCGUCCAUUAUCAUCUGUCAUUAUCCUCAUCGCUAUCAGCCUGAGGUCAGGCCCUUUAACGAUGACGCUCACGUGAGGUUGGGGUCAAGGAGAAGUGUGGCCAGCCCUGAGAGAAAGGCACUUCAGCCACGCUCGCCGAGGGAGCCGCACACUCAGGGCCCCCACACCGAUCUGUGAGCAAACUGGGUCGGUGUAUCCCCAGGCCCAGCCUGGGGAGGAGCCCUGCUGGGAGGAGCCCUGGUCUGUUGGGAAGCUGCCCCGGAGCAUCCGUGGCGGGCGUCUGCUGGGGUCCUGACGUCUGCGAGAGCGAGGACGUGCCCCGUUUUGAUCUUGCGUUGGAAGAGGGAGGGCGUGGUGAACCCCGUGUGCAGCGUGGUCAGCACUCGGGGCCUGGUGUGGUGUCCGGCAAUGGCGGGGGUGCGGGUGCUGGCAGGGGACGUGCGGGAGCCUCUCUGGGGGGGCAGCACAGGAGCUAGUCCUGGAUGGGGCUGUAGGGAGAGAGUUCCAGAAACGCAGGUGGGGCCGGGCCUGGUGCACUAGGACAGGGAGGGGACCAUGCGUGGUGGGCGCAGAGGGGGGCCCACAGGUCCCGUCCCCGAGCUCGGGUUCGAGGAGAAGCCAGCGCGCCUCCCGGCACUCCCUUCCCACGUGGACACGUCCAGGGUGGAAGCCACGCCGCUCUCCCGAAGUCCCUUGCAGCUGCCCUGCCCCCACGUGACCCGCGUCCGCCAACCAGAAGCCUCCCGUGAGCCUCCGCGCGGGAAGAGAGCCGGGGAGGAAGAUGGCGCCGGGGUCUAUGAGGCCGAGUAGCCUGAGGGGACGGUGUCCCCGGCGGGCGGGGGCCGAACGGCUGCCUGGGGUCCGUGGAGGAGCCCGUGCACGCGGCCCCCGAGUCUCUGCCCACGACGGGCCGGGAGCAUCCCGACGUCCCCAGGGGCCGCCCAGGGCCACCUCCCAGGCGCGAGUUGAAAUGCUCGGGCUCAGACCCGCCCGCGCCGCCUGCGUCCCAGGCCACGUGUCCCCCAGUUGCAGGGGCCGCGUGUGCGCCUUGACCUCUGGGAGCACCUGCCCUGCGCCGUGCCCGGUCCCGCUGUCGGCGCUCCUGUCGCUACAGAUUCUUCUCCAGAAUUCCCUCUGGGUGAUGAAACGUGUCUCCAUGGAAACACCUCGAGGGUGGAUUACCUGGGCUCUUUUAAAUUGCACUGAAAAGAACGUGGCAGGUGCAGAAUUGCCUUCCAGAACCUUCCAGCUCAGCCUGGCCAGCAGCUGGAAGCAGCUGAGGGAGUGACCCAGCCAGGCCAGGUGGAGCAGAGAGCCACCAGCAGGGCCCCGCCCGAAAUCUGACCCCAGGACUGUGGGGAGUCAGGAACCACUGACAUUUGAAGCCACAACCCUUUUGGAAGGUCUGUCCUGCAAGAAGAGAUAACCGACUCAGAGGGGGCACAGGCUGACUGGCCUGGAGAGUCACCAGCAGGGAGGAGCUCUCAGGUUAGAAUGAAGGGAGCAGGAGCACAUCCCAAUUCUUGCUCUGUCUGCAAUGACCAAGGCCUCCCUAGUUUCGUGGUUUGCCAUAUAAUUGGCAGAACGUCAUGUGAGUUCAAGGUGUACAAGGUGAUUAUUUGGAGCAAGCAUACACUGCAGAACGAUGACACUUGGGAUAGUGAACACCGUCAUCAUGUCCCAUGAUCACUGGCGGCUUUUCUUACCACUCAGGGCUUCCCCUCCGCAGCCUUCAAGCAGAAUGCUGGAACUUCUCUAGAAACCUGGGUUGCUACAAAGGCUAUCUCGCCUUUGGUCUGAGAUGGGUGGUCUGCCCAUGUCAGCAUUAUCCAGCCGCCCCCAGACUGCAGCCGAGAGGGACCAGAGCCGGCUCACAGGGUCCCGCCAGUGACAAAGCCUGUACCGUGGUCUGCCUGCCCAUCGCCCAAAGCAUGGUGGUGAGACUCUCCCAGGCAACCUGCGUCAGGUGCUGGAUCACACGGCUCCCACGGACGCACGUAAGUUUGGAGAUGGAAGCUGAAUUUUAGUUGUUAAAGGAAAUACCUUUUUUUAUGUGUAUUUAUUUUUUAGAGACCUGGAGUGCAAGUGGGGGAGGGUCAGAGAGAGGGAGACACAGAACCCGAAGCAGCUCCAGGCUCCGAGCUGUCAGCACAGAGCCCGAUGCGGGGCUCGAGCUCACAAACCGUGAGAUCAUGACCUUACUCGAAGUCGGACGCUUAACCGACCGAGCCAUCUAGGCGCCCCAGUUGUUAAAGGAGCUUAUCGACAGCUGCCGCGAUGCUGUCGUCACUCUGAUGGACGCUAAUUAAGCUCGCGCUAAUCAUCCCGCAAUAUAUAUGGGCUUCACAUCGUCACUGUACGCCUUAAACUUAGAUGUAAUGUGUCAGUUACGUCUCAAAGUUGGAAAAAGCAAUUUGAACCGGGCUCUUUAAUUCCCAGGUACGUAUAUCUGAGCCGGGAGUCUCCCUUAUGCCCCAAGCGUGUCCAUACUAAUCUGCGGGCUCCGACUCCCCAGGUGUGUCCGCCCUCGCAUGGCAGGCAGCCUCCCUAACUCAGUGCCUCUUCUGGGAAGUGGACCGCUCUCCCCAGGUGUGUCUCCGACCGGGAAUAUUUCCCCAGCACUCGAGGUGCUCUUGCCCCGAACAGCAGUGUCUAAUUCUCCAAAUGUGUCUCCUUGGACACACAGAGUCUUGCUAAGUGUACAGGUAGGUCUCCGUGAACCUAGGGCGUCCCCUCUGAGUCGAAGUGAUUCGUUGUCCUCCGGGCGUAUCUACAGCGACCUGAGGUCCACACACUGACACGGCACGUUUCCCUAAUUUCCCAGGUGUGUCUCCUCUGCCCUGGAUACUUCUCUCUUUGAGCUUAUUUACCCCAAGGGGAAACCGCCUAGCUCCCUGGGUUUAUCUACUCUGUGACGUGAUAAUGCAGACGUGCCUAUCCUUACCUAAGAUGUCUCCCUAAUACCCCAAGUAGGUCUACACACCGUUAGGAUGUCUCCUUAAAUCCCAGUGUGUUUUCUCUGGCAACCCUGGAUGUCUCUGUAAUUGUCCAGGUGCAUCUCCAUUGAACUGGGAUGUCUCCCUUCUAGCCAGGUGCCUGCUCUACCUGGGACACCCUAACUCCCCAGGCAUGUAUUGAGGGACCCGGGGGGCCGCCCUACUUCCCCAGGUAUGUGCCACAGCCUGAUUCCAAUUUCCCAGGUACGUGUCCCCUGACCCGGGACAUCUCUUUACUUCCGUCGAUCUGUCCACCCAGACGUGGGAUGUGUGCCUGACUCAAGUGUGUCUGCUCUGAACUGGGAUGUCUCCCUAUUUCCAUAGCUGAGUCUGUUUUGAUCUUGAUGUUUCCUUAAUUCUGCAUUAUGUGUCUAACUUGACCUGGAUGUCUGCCCAAUUCCCCUUUUGUGUCUUCACCGAACUAGAUUUCUAAUGCCCUAGGUUUAUCUACCCAGACAUGAAAUGCUGCCACCGAUUCCCAGGUGUUUUUCCUCUGACCUAGGAUAUGUUCCUUAUUCUCCAGGGUGGCUUUCCCUUACCGGGAUGUCUCCCUAGUCCCCAUGUGUACGUGCUCACACCUGGGCUCUCUCUUACUUCCCGAGUGCACACACUGAUCUGUCUGCCGAAUUCCAUAGGUGUUGACCCUGACCUGAGACGUUUCUCUUAUUCCAUGGAUGUGUUUUCUGUCUUGGGAUUUCUUACUAAUUCCCCCAUGUGUUUACCAUGACUUAGGAUGUUUCUCUACCCAGAUGCUUCUACUCUGACCUGAGUGUCUGACUUCCGAUGUCUCAAAGUAACCCAGAGUUCUACCCUGACCUGGGAUGUCCUGCAAGCUCCCCAGAGUCAGAAGAUAAUUCUCCAAAUGUGCCAACGGUCAAGUGGAAUGCUUCUUAUUCCCCAUGGGAAUGGGCUGCACUGACAUGGGAUGUCUCAUUAGAACCCCAAGGAACUCAGACUAUGAGAUCGUGACCUGAGCCGAAUUCGGACACCGAACCAGCUGACCCACUCAGGCGCCCUGGUUGUUAAAGGAGGUACCUUAUGCUGCCAUGAUGCCGGUGUCACUCUGGACACUGAUUUUGUAUCUUGUACCCUUACUGGAUUCACUUAUCAGUUCUAAGUUUUCCUGUGGAGUCUGUAGUGUUUUCUCUAUAUAGUAUCGUGUCGUCUGCGUAGUGAAAGUUCCACUUCUUCCUUGCCUUUUAUUCCUUUGUCUUGUCUGAUUGCUGUGUCCUCCUUCAUUGGGAUUUUAAUAUCAGCUUCCAAUUUGGCCAACUUCUGAUCUUGGAGCUCAUUAUAAAAAUCCUUCCAAAUAUCUUAUUUGUAGGUUUUAGCGGAGAUAAACAGUAAAUAUUCCUGGCAAUAGUACACUUUUUUUUUUUUUUGGCUUCUUUUAAACUAAAGGUAGAUCAAGUUGCUCAAGCAAAACUAAUAAGCCUUUUAUGACAUAUCCACGGACUCGAGAUGUAUGUCCUAGGAGGGUGCAAAAGAUUUAGUCUUCCCAAGAUCCAGAACUACUCCCAAAGAUAGGCAAGAUCGAGAAAGUUCCCCUGAGAGCUGGCAACAGUCAGUAGGAUGGCAGCCACAAAGGGGGUGCAACCCGUAUCUCAGGCCAGCCAUAUUCUCGGGGCCCCUGACCUUCACUUACAAGAAUGCACAGCCUGCAAGCCCCAGGCAGGCAGCCAAGCCAGAGGCCCGGGACACACAGCAAGACAAAUAGGAAAGCAGGAACUGUCCCUGGGAGGGAGAGGGUCAGUGACCAGAGGGGAUCCCCAAACCAAAUUCACAACAGUCUGGAUUUGAAAGGGAAGAGACAACAUGAAACUUGACCCCACUCUCUUUGCCGGCCUCUCCGCUUCCUCAGGGUCCUGCGUGUAGGCUCCGGAGUGGGUGCGGUGUCCCAGUGGGUCUCGUCUGGGUCACCAGAGACUGUAGAUGAGGAAAAAUUAAUUUUCCCUCUGCCCUUUCUAGUGCGUUCUUGGCUGAGAACUUGUAACUGGACAAGCUGGUCUAGGUCACAGGUUUCCGACCAUGGCCGCUGUGAUUCAGAGCUGCCCUCAGAUGCUGCCAUUUCUGCCACUGUGUAUGCGCUCCGGAACCCCACUUCCCAUAUAAAGAGCUGGGGCACAAGAAUAUGGAGCUCUCAGCUCUCUAGAACUUUAGGUCUCAUGUCUCCUCGGUGUCUGUCUGGCAGAUCUGUCGCUCUUACCUUAGGGUCACACCAAGACCGCCAGUAGUUCCCCAAGUGGAAUGGUGGGCCCACCAGCAGAACCCAACACGUCAAGACUGUGGAUAACGCAGGGCUUAGGGGCUUCGGGUCCAUGUAGAACCACCUGCCAGCUCCAGCUGGCCCACUAAAUCCUGGCCAGGAAAAGCCCAUCAGACCCGGGAGCUCAAACGCAAACAGAGUAGAACUCAGAUCCAAGAGGAACUUCCCCGCGGCUGUGGAAACAUGAGAAAGACCAAGAACUCAAAAGGGCUCAGCAGGCACCCAUGCCCACGUUUCUUGUCAUCCCCAAAGCCAUUAGCAGUCUUUGAAUCCCAUCCUUGUCAUCAACACUAUUAAAAUUUUGGGGGCGCCUGGGUGGCUCAGUUAAGCAUCUGACUUCAGGUCAUGAUCUCCCUGUUCGUGGGUUCAAGCCCCGCAUCGGGCUCUGUGCUGACAGCUCAGAGCCUGGAGCCUGCUUCGGAGUCUGUGCCUCUCUCUCAGAGAAAACAUUUUCUAGUCAACUUACGGAUCUAGCUGGCUUCUAUUUAGUAAUUCAUGAGUCGGGCAGCAUGCAACCUAGCGAUAGAAAGGAGCACCAAAGAGCUGCACGACGCACGAGAUUCUUACCACGUGAGCAGGAACGGGCAGAUUCGCUGGGCAUCUGCUGAUGGGUAAGCAUGGUUACUCUUGUUAUCUGGGCCCCAGGGAAGUCUCGGAGCAGGUCGGGUACCUUGUGCGGAGCAGGUGAGAGCUGACUGGCUGACCUAGGCCUUCCUCUUCUGGGAGAGCAGAGCAUAGAAACGUAAGUUUUGGUUUGCUGACAUGGGGCUUAACGUUAGUGACUCUGUUUUGGACGUAAUCUGGUUACUUUAACGACGUUGACGUGAACUACAUCCAUAGUAGUUCCCUAAGCGUGGUGGCCCUGAUCUGGAUUGUAUCUCAAGUUCCUCUGGGAAGUAUACCUGAGCUGGGAUGUCUCCUGACAUCCAGGUCUAACCUGAUCUAGUGUAUGUCCCUAGUCACUGAGGGCGUGUAUACUGACAGUGGGUGUCUCCCAGUUCUCCAGGUUGGACUGCCCCGACGUUGGAAGUCUGCCAAUUUUCCCGUGGGUCUACACUGAUCAAGGAUAUUCCCCUAAAUCUCUAGGUGUUGACCUGGGAUGUGUAAUUCCUCCUCCGUGUGUCCACUGACUUGAGAGGUCUCGUGUUUAUUGGUACCACUCUGGAAGUCCCCUCUGCUCUGUUGUAUUCUGACGCAGCACGUCUGCUUACUCCCCCAAGUCCGCCUACCCUGACAUUCAGGGUCUCCACGACUCCUGAGAUGUGAUCUCAGCUCACCUGGACCACUGACUAGUUCCCCAGAUGUGUCUACAAAAAGCGGUAUUUUAUUGUAAUAUACCAGUUAUGUCUACGCUGACCUGAGCGGUCUUAAUUCCCCAAAUGUGUCAACACUGACCUAGUAUGAUUCCAUAGAUUCCCAGCUGUGUCUGCCUCGACAUUGGAUGUCUCCACUUGACCUGCUGUGACUACCUAGUAUCUCAGGCAUGUCCACUCUGACCCGGAACAUCUAACGCCUCAGGCGCGGCCACUUUGCCCUGGAGCCUCCCUGGUUCCCCAGUUGGGCCUGCCGUAAUCUGAGAUGUCAAACUCAGACGUGUCUACUCAUACCUGGGAUGUCUAAUCCACAGAUGUGUCCACGCUGAACAGGGAUGGCUUUCUAAAACCCCAGCUGUGUCUAUCCUGACCCGGGAUGUGUCCCAAAUUUUCAAGGAGUGUCUGCUUUGAGCUAGGAUGUCUCAUUCUCCAGAUUCCUCUCUCUGGACCUUGAACGUCUCUGUUCUUCAGGACUGUCCAGCGUUAUCCUGGGACGUAUGCCUUUGUCCUUCGCCGUGUCUACUGCAAAUCUGGAGGUCUCGUUCCUCAGGUGUUCUGAUCUGUGAUGUCUCUAAGUCCCCAGGCGUGUCUGCAUUGAUUACAGUGACCCUUUAAUGCACCAGGUAUGUCUACCCUUACCGGGAUAUCUGUUUAAUAACUCAGAUGUGUCUACACAGAUGGGGCAUGUCUACUUUCUUACAAAGCGCUGUCUGUCCCUGUCCCAGCAGGAAAUACAGCACCCGGAGGUUCAGAGGAAGACACAAGACAUGUGACAGAAGGGGCUCCUUUCAGAGGAUCCAGCAGAGAAGUUAGGAAACCAGAGAGGAGCCCCCGGGAGCUGUUCCCCUGGGCCUGAGAGGCAGGGAAGGGACAGCGCUGCAAGGUCUGGAGAGAUGGCAGGGCUCACAGGCUCGGUGGCCCUGGGCUGUUGACCAGAGUUCCUGCCCCUGGCACAGCCAGCAGGGAUGGCCCAGCCUCUCUCCCCACCCGCAGCUCUGGGGGCCCCCGCGGGUGGGGCUUGACCACAAGGCAGGAUGUGGGAGCCCCGGCCACACGGCCCGCAGGUCAAGGCGCGGGGAGGGAGUGGGGUGAACACGGGGGACAGUGGAUCCGGGGCGACAGAGGGUGUGCUGCACGAGAGCCACCUGGACACACCCGAGCUCUCACCUGAGGGUGCCACACCUGGACGCUCUGGAACGGUCGCGGGCUCGUCAACGCUGGACUCCGUCCACCGGGCAACCACCAGGGUCCCCUCGGGGGGGGGUGAGGGGGUGGCGGUAGGGGGGGCGCAAGCUCUGGUCCCCACCGCCCCGCCUGGCUGCCCCGUCCUGUGUCCCGACGGCCCUCUGCCACCCGAGGCUCCGCAUUGCUGCGCGAUGUGGAAGGACGACACGGCACGGAGGUGGGGAAUCUGACUCUCCCCUCAAACUGCCCUGGUUCCACUGAGACCAGCAGUAAAGAGGAAGCGCAAUAAUAAACCUGCCCGCGGGAAACCAAUAAGAAGCAGGGCCUCGUGCCUUUGGCAAGAGGAGCCCAGAAAUGCAGUAACUUUUUGCCUUAACUUCCCCUGCACAGGCUCCCGUGAAGCAUUAUCUGCUCAGAUCCCAAGAUGAGCCAUUACGAGAGUCUGCUGCUUGAGCGGAACGCCUCUGGUCUGCAGAGAAACGUAGUUUUGCAAAGCGCCAGAUCUCAAGACCUGGGGCUGGGCCGCUCGCCAGGGGCGGGAGGCCGGCCCCCCAGGGAGAGACGGGGUCGGGGAAGGGACCCCGCCGCAGAGCUGACCGCACGAGCAGGCGCAGGUGGCCGUGGUCUCCCCCGGGCGGGCCGAUGCUGGGGAGGCCACACGGGGGUCACUUGUCCCUCGCGGCCGCCGUGCUCACGAACCACGAGUACCUCGUAAACCCCUAGGAGUGGGAUCGCUGGGCCACAUGGGUCUUUCCGAGACUCCCCUGUGUUUCCGUGGGGGAUGCUUGUCUCCCACGCCCACCGCAACACGCUCGGCCAUCGGCGUCACAACCUGGGCGUCACGUCCUGGCCGACGCUCGCUGUGCUGCGCUUCUGAUGGCUGCGGGACCUCGCGAUUGUCCUGUGUCCCCUGGUGAGGAGCGAGGGGAGUUCCAGUCGGGCGCUGACCGGCCAUCUGUGCGUCGUCUCUGGAGACAGACUUGGCCCAUUUUUUAAUGGGAUGGUUCCUUUGUCGCUGAGCAGUUUUUACAGAUCCUGGGUGUCAGCCCCUCAUCAGGUGAGGGAGACAUUUCUCCCAUUCUGUGGGCUGUCUUUAACUCCCCUGAUGGGGCCCUCUGAUGCCCCAAAGUGCUUCCUUUUGUAAAAGUCCAAUUUAUCUGCUUUUCUAGUUGCCUGUGCUUUGGGUGUUAGAGCCAAUAAAUCACCACAAAUGCAACGUCCUGAA